rnacentral:rRNA from 1 species
CUCGUAGGCGGUUCGGCAAGUCGGAUGUGAAAUCUCCACGCUCAACGUGGAGGGGCCAUUCGAAACUGCCGUGACUCGAGUCCGGUAGGGGAGUGUGGAAUUCCCGGUGUAGCGGUGAAAUGCGCAGAUAUCGGGAGGAACACCAGUAGCGAAGGCGGCACUCUGGGCCGGUACUGACGCUGAGGAGCGAAAGCGUGGGAGCGAACA